CCUACGUGAGGCAGCAGUGGGGAAUAUUGCGCAAUGGGCGAAAGCCUGACGCAGCGACGCCGCGUGAGGGAUGAAGGUCUUCGGAUCGUAAACCUCUGUCAGCAGGGAAGAACGGUCACUGUGCUAAUCAGCAGUGAAUUGACGGUACCUGCAAAGGCAGCACCGGCUAACUCCGUGCCAGCAGCCGCGGUAAUACGGAGGGUGCGAGCGUUAAUCGGAAUUACUGGGCGUAAAGCGCUCGUAGGCGGUAUGUCAAGUCAAGGGUGAAAUCCCCGCGCUCAACGUGGGAACUGCCUUUGAAACUGGCAAACUGGAGUGUGUGAGAGGAUAGUGGAAUUCCAGGUGUAGGAGUGAAAUCCGUAGAUAUCUGGAGGAACAUCAGUGGCGAAGGCGACUAUCUGGCACAUAACUGACGCUGAGGAGCGAAAGCAUGGGUAGCAAACAGGAUUAGAUACCCCAGUAGUC
rnacentral:rRNA from 1 species